rnacentral:rRNA from 1 species
AGUGAACGCUGGCGGUAGGCCUAACACAUGCAAGUCGAACGGCAGCACAGUAAGAGCUUGCUCUUACGGGUGGCGAGUGGCGGACGGGUGAGGAAUACAUCGGAAUCUACUUUUUCGUGGGGGAUAACGUAGGGAAACUUACGCUAAUACCGCAUACGACCUACGGGUGAAAGCAGGGGAUCUUCGGACCUUGCGCGAUUGAAUGAGCCGAUGUCGGAUUAGCUAGUUGGCGGGGUAAAGGCCCACCAGGGCGACGAUCCGUAGCGGGUCUGAGAGGAUGUACGCCCACACUGGAACUGAAAACCGGUCCAGACACUAAGGGAAGGCAGAGGUGGGGAAGUUUGGACAAUGGGGGAAGGCUGAGUCCAGCAAUCCGCGUGGGUGAAAGAGGGCCUUCGGGUGGUAAGGCCCUUUGUUUGGGAAGAAAAGCCAGCGGGUAAAACCCCGGCUGUCCGAACGUAACCAAAAGAAGAAGCACGGGCAAACUCGUG